rnacentral:rRNA from 1 species
GAUGAACGCUAGCUACAGGCUUAACACAUGCAAGUCGAGGGGAAACGAUAGAGAAAGCUUGCUUUUUCUAGGCGUCGACCGGCGCACGGGUGAGUAACGCGUAUCCAACCUGCCCACCACUUGGGGAUAACCUUGCGAAAGUAAGACUAAUACCCAAUGACAUCUCUAGAAGACAUCUGAAGGAGAUUAAAGAUUUAUCGGUGAUGGAUGGGGAUGCGUCUGAUUAGCUUGUUGGCGGGGUAACGGCCCACCAAGGCGACGAUCGGUAGGGGUUCUGAGAGGAAGGUCCCCCACAUUGGUACUGAGACACGGGCCAAACUCCUACGGGAGGCAGCAGUGAGGAAUAUUGGUCAAUGGGCGAGAGCCUGAACCAGCCAAGUAGCGUGCAGGAUGACGGCCCUAUGGGUUGUAAACUGCUUUUAUAAGGGAAUAAAGUGAGCCUCGUGAGGCUUUUUGCAUGUACCUUAUGAAUAAGGACCGGCUAAUUCCGUGCCAGCCGCCGCGGUAA